CCAUGUAACUAUCCACACUAUCAACGCGUACAAUGUGUACCCGUCCAAAAAACGUAGUGUGGCUACAGGUACCACCAACAUGAGCCUUCGUUUUCUCCUUUCUCGAGUCUUCUUGUCUUCUCCCUGUCCCAAAAAAGAAAGUCUUGUAUUCUCCGGAGCUCCCACUCCCAGCCAUGGAAAAGGAUGAGCCAGCCUGGAUCUACCACAUAUGCGAGGAUCACCUCGAAGCUCUCCUCGGUCUCCUCUCCUACUUCGUGGUCCUCACUCACACACCUCGUGGCUGGGACUACGCAUAGUUUGCCUGCGCGCGUGCCGCGUCGAUCUCCCGGGCCGUCAACGAGUAUCGGGGCCUGAUAUCAACUGCGUGAGGGAGGAUGCGAGCUCGUCGUACUCAACAGCGCAGUUGCCGCCGGCUACAAUUGAGGCGUUGAAGGAGUGGAUCUCGUUCCCCUUAGCUCCUGCAGAUUGUGGUUGUCGGGAUUCUGGGGUUGUUAUCCGUCCCCGAGCGCCGGGCCGGAGGCAUCGUAGCUGUCCCCAAGCGGGCACGCCGACGCACCGUCUUAAUUUUUGACAGUCGCAACCCGACUUCAGUGUCACAUUCUUUCACCUAUAGGUUCCCCCUCUUCCUUUUUCUUUUUUCUGUCUUUGUACGACUGAACCAUACUUUGGGAUACUUCUUAAUAGUGACAAAUGGUAUACUGGCUGCUAUUGAAAUGAGAUAGUAGUAAGUCUGGACGCCAACGCAGCUUAAGCCAAAUUGUUAAUUAGUUUUUGACCCCUCAACAAAUUAAAGAAGUAAUUAGUGUAUUUGUGAUUAUCUAUAGUUUUAAUAGUAUUUCCAAAGAUAAAUUAAUUUUAAUAACUGGGUAGUAAAAUUAGGUCUGAUUGCAUUCUACACGUGACAUAUAACGAUGAUUUGACGCUCACAACAUUGUUGUACUAUAUAAUAAGCUUCAAAUAUCAGAUGUUAGAGUGUCGAUGUUUGGUAUUUCUGAACUAUUUCCAUCAAAUUUUGAUGCAUUUUUCCGGUACUUAUGCGGAGUAGUUGACCAUCUCCGAUGUUCGGUAUUACUGAACUAUUUCCAUCAAAUGUUGAUGCAUUUUUUCGAUACUUAUGCGGAGUAGUUGACCAUCUCCGUCCUGUCAUAUCUUGUUAGCCUAGGUAAGUCAGUUAUUAUUUUGAAGGUAGUCUAUAGUAUACUAUUUUUUCAUGUACUUAUGAUUAUAUGUAAUGCAUAAAAGGCAGUAUCAUCCAUCUAGUUCACUGGGAUUGAGAUGUCCUCUACCCUAGCUAAUGUUCAAGCCAACACCCAUCUACUUCAUAUGUAUGUAAGUAGCGGCGCAUGCUCUUUUUAAUAAAUCUUUGUUUCUGUCUGACCAAUUCCUUUGGUUUGUACUACAUGGACCACUCUUAUGUAAGAAAUUCCCAAAUAGACAAUGGAUAAUGGUACAUUAAAGUAAAGAAUCGAUAAUGUAUACUUAGUUGAGUGAAAUCGGUUCUGGCUCUCCAUGUUUGAUGCGGUGAAGCAGAAUAUGUGUAAAGCACUACCGAGUUUUGCUAUCCUGGCCUGGCAAUUUAGUCCUGCUGUACAAUGGAGAUUCCAACGGUCAUAGUCCAUGGAUGCUGCUAGUCAGUAGGUUAAUAGCAUGACCCCCUUUAAAUAUAGUUUUAUUUGUUUAUUAGCAACUUCUUUCCUUUCUUUAUUAUAGUUUGAGCACUUCUUUAGAUAGCAAAUUCUUUGAUCUCAUUUAUUUGUUGUUUCUACCAAGUGUUUGUCCUCAUGUUUGUAAUCAUUCAUUGAAUAUUAGGAGCAAAAAAGUGAAAAAUCCGAGUAGUAGAGGUGCAGGUCUAUCAUAAGGAUGUGUUCAUUUUCAGGAAUGAUUAUGCGGAUCAUACAUGUUACGGAUCUACAUCUUCAAUUGAGUGCAAAGGGAUUAGAAGAUGCUUAUGGGACAACUGUGAAUGUUGACGGGAAAUAGCUAUUUCAAAGUUUGAUUAAGAAAGUCACAGUAAUCAAAAUCUUAGGUGGAAAAUUCUAUUGGCUGAGAUGUCCAUGGACAGUAAUGGCCAGGAACCAAUAUUUUAUUGUCUGAUGGUUAUUCUCCUUUCAUGUACGUUGCAUGUGACAAAAGAAUCAACUUGAUGAUGCUUAUGUAUAUUUUGGCAUCAAAUAUCAAAUUCUAUGUGUGUUGUUAAUUGAUGAAUAGAACAAUUAUGGUAACA